rnacentral:rRNA from 1 species
GAUGAACGCUGGCGGCGUGCCUAAUACAUGCAAGUCGAGCGAACAGACGAGGAGCUUGCUCCUCUGACGUUAGCGGCGGACGGGUGAGUAACACGUGGACAACCUACCUAUAAGACUGGGAUAACUUCGGGAAACCGGAGCUAAUACCGGAUAACAUGUUGAACCGCAUGGUUCAACAGUGAAAGACGGUCUUGCUGUCACUUAUAGAUGGAUCCGCGCCGCAUUAGCUAGUUGGUAAGGUAACGGCUUACCAAGGCAACGAUGCGUAGCCGACCUGAGAGGGUGAUCGGCCACACUGGAACUGAGACACGGUCCAGACUCCUACGGGAGGCAGCAGUAGGGAAUCUUCCGCAAUGGGCGAAAUCCUGACGGAGCAACGCCGCGUGAGUGAAGAAGGUCUUCGGAUCGUAAAACUCUGUUAUUAGGGAAGAACAAAUGUGUAAGUAACUAUGCACGUCUUGACGGUACCUAAUCAGAAAGCCACGGCUAACUACGUG